AUGACCAACCAAGCACACAACAAUGGAGUACAUAACUCGGUGGAGGCGUACUACCAUGUGCAUCUUUGCAUCGAGAAUCUGCCUCUCAAUGCCUGGUGUGACGAGGUAGCUACGCAGGUGCUUGGACCAGACACGUUCCUCCACUACUUUGAUGUUGCCACUGUGAAGCGUGAAGAUUCUUCCUCCUUCAACCUGUGGGCAUGGUCGGCCAACCCUUCGGCCAUCCCCAAGGUUCUCCGGCUGACGCUCGCCGGCAACCAAGCGGCGGGCUACAGCAGCGGCCCGAGUGCCGUGGUGGGCCGGCGCGGCCUCAAGCGGCGUGUCCUGGUGCACCUUGAAACGGUGGAAGACUUCACUCCUGACGUCAAUGGAGUUAUCCCUCGCCGCCCUCGCUCAACACACCCGUUCACCUUCUACUACGGUGUGGUCGACGGUGAGUCAAGAAUGCGAGACCGCUCGGAGGUGGCCGGACAAAGAAGGGAUGAUGACCAAGACCGCGACCGCCGCGAUGACGAUGAUGACCGCGGACGUCGGGGCUGGGAGGAUCACUCCUCCUCUUGGCGUGAAAGCUUCUUCCGCAGCCGGUCGUGCGCUCCAGCGCGCUGCGAGGACGAAGACCGCCGUGGCUCCAGGGAUAGCCGCCGUGAAGACAGGGGAGGCCGCCGCGACGACCGCGAUGGCAGGGACGGACGCCGUAGGACCUCCGGCACCCCUGACGCUCGCAAGAUUGAUUGGAACCAAGUCCAACGCCUUCCUGACGGUGCUGUCAUUCCGGCUUCCGGCAGGCGUGGCCGUUGUCGCCCUGAAGAUAGUGGCUCGCGCUCGGCGCGCCCGGGCGGACUGACCAGCCCUGUCUGCGAGGACAGUCGUGGUCGUUCUCCUCCGGCCUCACCUAGAACCACCUCCUGCGACAUCGUGCAAGUCUCUUCCUCACCUGGCGACGCUUCUUGGUUCAGCUGGAUUGCCCCCUGCUUUGGUGCUCAGGAGAGGCCAGCAGUGGUGUGUCCUGCAACGCUGCAUCAGGAUGCCUCUCCUCGUACAUCGGUGCUGGACAUCAUCCAGCUACAUCCCAUGCCAGCUCCAGCACGUCCCUGUGAAUCUGCUAUGCCACCCCUGAUGUUGGCUGCUUCGGCAUCCCAUGGCUCGCCUUCUGCUGCUGAGCCGACCACGCCGAUUUUCAUCCCGAUGUCCACCCCGCCAGUCAGCCCUGCUGCGACCAACUCUACUGAUCUUCCCACGCAGUCCCUGUUGUUUGUGCCUUGUGCCCCGCCCCUGCUGUCAGCGCCGAGCUCUACACCGCCCAGGCCGCCCAAGACAAGGAGGAAGACGCUCGCUGGUGUUUCGGGCUUCAACCUCAACCGCUGCAGCCCGCGUCUUCAAGUAAAGAAGAGGACUAUGCCAGUGGCGCAGCUAGCAGAGAAACUCCUCUGUCAGCGCCUGGGCAUCAUCAAUGAAGGGCAAGAAGUUACUGAAGAAGCCAUUAGCAAAUUUGUUGGCAUGUUCCAGGGACAACUUCCUGACAUCACAGUUUCGGCCCUUCGGGCCCUCUUCAAUCUUGACUGUGAUCUUGCGAAGGCCGUGGAGGAUGCACUGGUGGAACAUGGAGGCGCGGCCGGAAUAGAACUGCAGACCGCGAAUGGAGAGGUCGCCGGUGAGGCAGCGUGA
rnacentral:rRNA from 1 species